rnacentral:lncRNA from 1 species
AUUUUUGUUUGAGAAUUUUUGUGCAGACUAUAUAUUUUGUUGUGUAUGCUAAUCAUGCAUAAUUAGAUCAAACUGAUAGAUGCUUAUUGUUUUUUUUCUUUUUUGAGUUCAGAUUUCUUAUGAUAUUCAAUAUGGCUUUGGUAUCACAUGAAGACAUCACAUUGCACACCUAGAAGAGUGUUUGACAAUCGAGAGAUCUAUGCAUUAUAAGAGGUAAUUGCCUAUGGCCUUAUGUUUCUAUUUUUUCUUUCCGACUAUAAGUUUCCUAUGAUAUAAGUUAAACUUAAGAAUUUUAUAUUCUUUUAGGACUAUAAAGAAACUUUGAAGAUUGAACUGUAUAGCUCUAGUGCCAGAACAAAGCACUUGUAAUAUGGCCUUAAGUAUCAUAUGAAGAUAUCACAUUGCCAAAACAAACUUUGAAGAUUGAACCGUAUAACAAACUUCAGAUUUCCUUUUCCAUUUUUUUUUGAGUUGAGAUUUCUUAUAACAUUCAAUAUGGCCUAGUUAUCACAUGAAGACAUCACAUUGCAUAUCUAGAAGUGUGUUUGACAAUCGUGAGAUCUAUGCAUUAUAAGAGGUAAUUGCUUAUGACCCUAUGCUUCUUUUUUCUUUUCUAACUAUAGGUUUCCUAUGAUAUAAGUUGAACUUCAGAAUUUUAUAUUCUUUUAGGACCAUUAAGAAACUUUGAAGAUUGAACUGUGUAGCUCUAUUGCCAGAUCAAAGUACUUUCACAUGAUGAAUUUAAAAUCUUGCUAUGGUGUCUUUGCUAAAUCUUUAUUCACAGAUACAAAGAUAUUAAAGCAUCUUUGGAUUUGCUUAGAGGGUGAAAAUAUGGAAACUUAUGGUGUUGCACAACUAUAAUCAUAUUCAACAACUAAGAGAUCUAUGCAUAAUUUUGAUCUAAGAUGUAACUUCUUAUGUCUUUAUUUUUUGGGUGACUAAAGGUUCCCUAAAAUAUCCAUUAGCCUUCAGAUUUUUUAUGUUCUUUUAGGACCAUUCUAGAACCCGUGAAAACUUUUAUUUGGUGUAGAUCUUAUUUCACUACGGAGUACUUCAUUUCACUUGAAAUAGUGUUUUUUUUAUGUUUAUUUGCAUAUACAAAGAUACUAAAGCAUCUCAGGAUUUUGUUUAGAGGGUGAAAUAAUUUAGAAAAUUAUGGAGUUGCAAAACUAGAAUUGUGUUUGACAAUCAAAAGACUGUUGAUCAACCACUCAGAUAUUGUUUAAAAAACUGUUCAUGAAAUGAAUAAUUUUCAAUUUGAAAUUUUUCGAAAAUAAAGAUAAGUUC